AAAUAGCCAAAAAGUUACUAAAUUAACCUGUUCCCAAACGAGGUCUUAUUAAUUGCUUUAGAUUGAAAGUUUCCUUACAAAUGUUAUCUGAAUUGAGCCGAUUGAAGCAAUCCCUUUGAGAUGUACAGUGAUUAUUGAAGAAGAUCGAUCUUAGAAAACUUAAUGCGUGGUUAGUGUUAUUUAUGGUGAUUUGGUUAAGUGGACCACUACUAGUUUUUGCUGCUUUACUGUUUCUCAUUUCUGGCCCUUAUCAGCUUAAAAAUUUGUUUUUUUGUUUGUUUUUUUUUUUGUGCUUGAUAGUUGUAUAUUGUUGAUAUUGAUCUUAAUUGAAUACGUACUGAUUUGAUUGUUGUUUUUGUUUGAUAAAUGAUUUGUUAAGUCUCAAGGAGAUUAAAUAGAGCUUCACAGGAAGAGACAUGGCUAUCGCCAUGAUCACUUCAAGUGCAAACACAAGAAAGAGGCUCGCAAGGUUCACAAGCAAUCUUAGAUUUCUCAGAAGUCUUUGGGUAUCAAGAGUAAGAUGUUUGCUAAGAAACACUAUGCUGAAAUGGCCCAAAUGAAGAAAACAGUUUGGCCACUAUAAAAUGGGACAGUGCAACUUUGAAGAUAUUGGCUGGUUGAUUCACUCUCUAUCAAGGUAUGGCAUCAUCUAAUAAGCCAAAGAUAGUUGAAAGGGAUGUGAAGGAGAAAGAAUACAAAGGAGUUGAUAAAGAUACAUUUUGAGAGAUUCUCUUUUAAAGAAACUGUUGCUAUUCUUCAUUUGAAAUUUGAGAAUAAGAACUACUUUGAUUUGAAUUUGAAAACUGAGUUUUGAUUUUUGUAGAAUUUUACUUUCUAUAUACUCAUGGUUUGGGAGGAGUGUUUUGA